rnacentral:rRNA from 1 species
GACACCUCAAUACACAAGAUGUCCGCCAGAAAAUUACGAGCGAAAAGCUUAAAACUCAAAGGACUUGGCGGUGCCCCACACCCGACUUAGAGGAGCCUGUCCUAUAAUCGAUACUCCACGCUAAACCUCACCAUUCAUUGCCUAGACAGCCUAUAUACCGCCGUCGCCAACUUACCCCCUGAGGGUAAAACAGUAAGUACAAUAGUUUGUUAACUAAAACGUCAGGUCAAGGUGUAGCUUAUAGAAUGGAAGAGAUGGGCUACAUUUUUUAUAACAAAACAUACGGCAUGGAACUGUGAAACCAGUUCUUAAAGGAGGAUUUAAUAGUAAAACUAAUAAGAAAAUUAAUUU